GCUCUCGUUGGUGGUGGUGGGCGGAGCCUGAGCGGGGCCGUUCCAGAAGGAGGGGGGAGGUUGUCCCUAAAGCGCAUGCCCAGGAGGACUGCCUGAGCGAAGGGACAGCUCUGGUAGCGAUUUCCCUUGUGGGGCGAUGACAGGUAGGGGUUUUGUACUUUAAAAAGUACAGGCCUGUCACUUCAUGUGUUAUUUUAGAAAACUGUAUGACUUCUGGAAGAGGACCUACUUCUUGAGAGUUACAAAAUUAACAGUUUUCUCAGUAGGGCUUAGGAUACUGGACUCAAUACAGUGAGACAACUGGAUUCUACUAUGAUUAAAGACGGGAGUAAGGGGGGGACGGAACGACACCAGAGUCACGUCCUGGGCAUCAGUUCCGGAGGAGCUGUGUGACUUUGGGCAGCAGUUUAAGUCCCUGAAAAUAAUUUCCUGCGGGGCGUGGUUGUUCACACCCAUAACCCCAGUAUGGGAAAACUAAAGUAUGGGGGAUUGCUUUGAGUUUGCAGCCGGACUACUUAGUGGAUUUGAAUCCAGCCUGGACCUCAGAGUGAGAUCCUGUCUUAAAACAAAACAAAACAAAACAAAACAAACUAGCAAAAAAAACCGACGAACUUUUUUUUUUUUUUUUUUUUUUUUUUGCGACAGUUUCACUAACUUGCCCAAGUUAGCCUGGGAAACAGAGCAACCAACCCUCCUCAGCCUGUCAGUGACUGGAACCAGAGACUUAUGCCACACCUAAUAUUCUUUUUUUUUUUUUUUUUGGUUGUUUGGUUAGUUGGGUUUUAGUUUAGUUUUUGUGUAUGUUUUUGUUUGUCUCUUUGUCUUGGUUUUGGGUUUUCGUUUAUUUUGAGACAGGGUUUUUCUGGGCAACAGCCAUGAUUGUCCUGUAACUCAAUCUAUAGACCAGGCGGCCUCUAACUCAGAGAUUCACUAACCUCUGCCUCCUGAGAGCUGGGGUUAAAGGCCUGCGCUCCACACCUGGCCUUCAGCUAUUCUUAAAAUAUGUUUGGAAAGGUACAGUUUAGUGAAAGAGUGCUUGCCUCACAUUUCAGCAUGUUAAACACCUGCACUUGGUUACAGCACUGAAAAAUAAAAUAAAGUAAAAUAGCCUGAUGAUUUACUAAGAGUAGAACAUUAAGGGCUGGAGAGGUGGCUCAGUGGCUAAGAGUACUUGUUGCUCUUGCAGAGGACCAGGCUCGGCUCCUGGUUCAGGUUCAGUUCAGCACCCACAUGGCAGCUCAUGACUGCCUAUAACUGUAGUUUUAGAAGAUCCAACACCCUAUUCUGACUUUCUCAGUCACUCGAUACACGUACUACAUAAACAGCCAAACAAGCACAAACACAAAUCCAAACAGUAGAAUGCUGGGCUGAGGAGGUGGCUCAGUGGGUAAAGACACUGGUGCUGCUAAGUGACAAGCUGAGUUCUGUCUCCAGGGCUACAGAGAAACCAUGUGUGGAGAAACAAACAAACAAACAGUCAAUCAACAAAGAGCUAGUCUGUGAAGCUGGAGAGGUGGUUAAACUGUUAAGACUACUGUCUGGUCUUCCAGAAGACAUGGGUUUGAUUCCUAGCACCUACAUAGGAGUCCCAACAAUAUAAUUCCAGAUGCCCUAUUCUGGCUUUUGUGGGUUCCAGGCACAUAUGUGGUACAUAGGCAGACAUGUAGGUAAAACACCUAUGUAUACAAAGUAAGAUAAAUCUUCAUGUGGUUGCUGGGAUUUGAACUCUGGACCUUCGGAAGAGCAGUCGGGUGCUCUCACCCACUGAGCCAUCUCACCAGCCCCCUAAGAUAAAUCUUUUAGAAGAUCUAUUAUGUAACCAAUAAAGGUUCAAGCACUAUCUUCUAUUUAACUUUUUUUUUUUUUUUUCUGAGGCAGGGUUUCUCUGUGGAGCCCUGGCUGUCCUGGAACUCACUCUGUAGACCAGGCUGGCCUCGAACUCAGAAAUCCGCUUGCCUCUGCCUCCCAAAUGCUGGGAUUAAAGGUGUGAGCCACCACUGCCUGGCUCUAUUUAACUAUUUUUAUUUUAUGUGCAUUGGUGUUUUGCCUGCAUGUAUGUCUAUCUAUGUGAGGGUUAAGGACAGGUGUGAACUGAACCCAGAUCUUCUGGGAGAGCAGUCAGUGCUCCUAACCAGUAAGCCUUCUCUUCAAUCCUUAAGCCUUAUCUUUCUUUAGAAAACAAACUAAACUGGGUGUGGUGGCGAAUACCUUUAAACCCAGCAUUUGGGAAGCAGGGAUAUGCAGAUUUCUGUGAGUUCAAGGACAGCCUGGUCUUCAGAGUUAGUUGCAGUACAACACAGAGAAACUCUGUCUUAAAAAUAAAUAAAUGAAAUAAAAAUAAAAAAAGAGAAUAGUAGUUGCUUGUUGGCCUUUGGUUUAAUGUGAAAAGAGGAUAACAAUUCUAAUUGGAGUCGGGAUCCUGGUAGGUAAAGGCACAUAAUUCUCUCCACAGUCUAUUCUAUGGCCUGACCAAUAACAGAGGCUUAGGAAGAGCUCAGCACUCAGCAUGGUGGCUGUCAUGACUCCUGUCAUCCCAGCAUGUACAAGGCAGAGGCAAGAGAAUCGGGAGUUCAAGAAGACAGGCUGCCUUUGUGUCAAGAUGUAGAACUCUCAGCUCCUUCUCUAGCACUAUGCCUGCCUGGAUGCUGCCCUGUUCUCACCUCGAUGAUCCUGGACUGAACCACUGAACGGGUGAGCCCCUUAUGAAAGGGUCGUUUGACCCACAGACUAAGAAGUGAUAUUUAAGCAGAGACUUGUCAGCAAAGUGAGAGAGGAAGACAGCUGAAGGAAGAAUUCGAGAUACAAGUUUUAAACCUUUGUCCACAUUCAACAAAGUAAGGUGACAAGACCCUUGAAGAGAAAGAAAGAAAGAGAGAAAAGAAAGGAAAAGAAAAGAAUUUCUGCCUCUGAUAAGCAACUUGAUCAGGACUUACUGGCCAUCCUCCUGCCGGUCUCCCAAGUGCUGGGAUGGACAAGGUUGGUGCCACCAUGCCCAGCUUCUCUCACUUGCUUUAGGGAAGUAAAAAGACUUCCAAGAAAAAGGUGAGUCAGAUCUCAUCGCCUUUGCUGAACGCCCUCCCAGAGUCUUCCCUCCUUCCUUAGCUGGAAACAUAGCUCAAGUCUUCCCAGUCCGAGAGCCUCUUUCCCCUCCAUGGAGGCACCCACCCUCUCUCUAUCCCUGCUCCUGGGCUUCAGGCCCCUUGCUCAUGCUGCAGCAGCAACACUGAGCUGUGCUGGCUGGCAAAUAUUCUGUGCACGCUCUGACUUCAGGGCCUUUUGCAGGGAUUAUUUCCCCACCUCCUUCAGGCUCACCUCCUUCAGGACUUUAUCCAAAUGUCACCCUGUCCAUGAGCCUAUCUUCCGCCCUCUCCUCUAAAUAGGGUCCCCGACUCCUCCCCAAACACUGUCUCUUCCCUUCUAGAGCUCAUGAUCUUCCUGCUUCAGUUUCUAAUACGCUUGACUGAAAGGCAUACACCUUCACCCCAGCUCCAACCAUUCAGAUCUGGAAGUGGUCCAGAGGUGGUGUGCAGUGAUUCCCUGGGGUAAGGGUGUAUGUCCAAAGAGGGGAGAGGGAGGCAUGGCCAUUACUAAGCCUAGUGUUCUUCUAUUUUUUUAAAGUCUCUUUUAUUUUAUUUUAUUUUAUUUAUAUGAAUACACUGUAGC